rnacentral:tRNA from 1 species
GGCCGGAUGGUGUAGUUGGUCAUCACGUAUCGUUAACAUGAGCUUCUACUAAGAAGCCUUGGUACCGAUAAGGUCCCCGGUUCGAACCCGGGUCUGGUCA